GUCUCGGUGGUGUAGUGAUAGCGCGUGUCCUUGGUAUGGGUGAAACACGGAUUCAAUUCCCGUCUGAGAUU